rnacentral:rRNA from 1 species
UACGUAGGGUGCGAGCGUUAAUCGGAAUUACUGGGCGUAAAGCGUGCGCAGGCGGUUUUGUAAGACAGGUGUGAAAUCCCCGGGCUUAACCUGGGAACUGCGCUUGUGACUGCAAGACUCGAGUACGGCAGAGGGGGGUAGAACUCCACGUGUAGCAGUGAAAUGCGUAGAGAUGUGGAGGAAUACCGAUGGCGAAGGCAGCCCCCUGGGCCAAUACUGACGCUCAUGCACGAAAGCGUGGGGAGCAAACAGG